ensembl:snRNA U6 U6 spliceosomal RNA
GUGUUUGCUUCCACAGCACAUACACUAAUACUGGAACAAUGCAGAGAAGACUACCAUGACCGCUAUGCAAAGAUGACAUGCAAAUUUGUGAAGUGUUCCAUAUUUCU